CUGAGAAGAAAACGUUUAAUCCUGCUGUUGCUACUGUGCGAAAUAUUCUUCAUGUUAUUCAAGAGAAAUUUGACCAUCCAUGUUCCAGCUGGAAAGCGACACGACCUGAAUAUAAGAAAAUGUGGUUUGAUGAAUGGGCGUGUGCAGAAAUUUUAAGAAAUACAAUGCACACUGUUAGGCAAGACUUAUAUCAAAAACAAAUUAG